GGAGAGACUGCUCUAGUGAUGAGAGUGAGGGAGAUCUGGUGGGCUGACCAACCCUGCUACUGUCCAGACCCAGAACCCGGGGUAUGAGUUGGAUCAUCCCAAUAUCCACCCCAUCUAUGAUCUGCUGGAGUACAAGAAGGGGCUGGUCUUGCAUAUCCAAAGCUUCAGGAUCUCCAUGACACAAGCAACAGCAGGAUGGAUGUCCAAGAAGAGUCUCAGUGAGGGCCCAGAAGGAGCCAGAGGCCUCGAACCAGACCAAUGACUCAUUGCAGUGAACACUUGCAAGUACAGCUGUGUGGACUAAAGGAAACACAAGAUUCUGAAAAUGAAUCUUUGAAACAAAGACCAAAUAUCAGAUGUGAGUGCUUUGUCCAGAGCCAGGGAUACUGAAGUGUGUUGCUGUAGGAGGAAAUAAUAUCAGGUUCCUGCUUUGAAUUCCUUCCAUGAUUUCUCUGCAUGAUGGACUGACUAAAAAUUGUAAGAUGAGAUAAACCCCCUGUUUCCCAGGUUGUUUAUGGUCAUGAUGUUUGAACUCAGCAAUAGAAACCCUAAGACACAGACCAUAAGCUAACUGGAUGGCUGCCAUGUCAAAACUGGCAACUUCAAACAUUCAUGCCUUGAGGAAGUUACACAAAAGCUACAUCUGCUUGCUGCUGAGGCAUAGUGUCGGCUCCAG
rnacentral:lncRNA from 1 species